rnacentral:rRNA from 1 species
UACGGAGGGUGCAAACGUUGCUCGGAAUUAUUGGGCGUAAAGCGCACGUAGGCGGUCUGGUAAGUCGGGUGUGAAAUCCCUCGGCUUAACCGAGGAAGUGCAUUCGAAACUACCAGACUUGAAUACUCAAGAGGGUCUCGGAAUUCCCGGUGUAGAGGUGAAAAUUCGUAGAUAUCGGGAGGAACACCAGUGGCGAAGGCGGAGACCUGGGGAGAUAUUGACGCUGAGGUGCGAAAAGCGUGGGGAGCAAACAGG